AUGGCGCUUCGUGACAGUGCUGGAUCCUCGAUCUUCGUUGCAUGCAGGUACCUCUUUGGAUGCGCCGACGCUGUGGACGCAGAACUUGCUGCGAUGGAGGAGGGCCUGGCCCUUGCGCUCCAAUGGUCGCCACUUCCGUUGUCCGUGGAGACGGACUGUGCUGAAGCUGUUGCACUGGUGCAAUCCUCCACCCCUAACCUGUCGCGCUAUGUGUGGCGUGUCCAGAAUAUUCGUGAACUUCUUCAGGAAAGAGAUGUCUCGAUCGUCAAAAUCAGUCGCGAAGCCAACUCUGUGAGCCAUGGCUUAGCACAGCUAGGUAGAGAGCAGUUAAAAUUUGACUACCUAUGUAGGGCAAACCAUUGGUGCGUUGCUACUACCGAGGAAAGGAGGAAGGACGAGGACCAGGAUGUAGCAUGGUCACAAAAGUCGUCCCUUGCCGCAAGUCAUGAAAAGGUUGCAAUUGAUCUCUUUUCCUGA
rnacentral:rRNA from 1 species